AACUUUCAACAACGGAUCUCUUGGCUGUGGCAUCGAUGAAGAACGCAGCGAAAUGCGAUAACUAAUGUGAAUUGCAGAAUUCAGUGAAUCAUCGAGUCUUUGAACGCACAUUGCGCCCGCUGGUAUUCCGGCGGGCAUGCCUGUCCGAGCGUCA
rnacentral:rRNA from 3 species